rnacentral:rRNA from 1 species
GACGAACGCUGGCGGCGUGCCUAAUACAUGCAAGUCGAACGCAGUGGGGACGGGUGAGUAACACGUGGGUAACCUCCCAUCAGAGGGGAUAACACUUGGAAACAGGUGCUAAACCGAUACUGAUGGAUGGACCCGCGGUGCAUUAGCUAGUUGGUGAGGUAACGGCUCACCAAGGCCACGAUGCAUAGCCGAUUGGAGAGGGUGAUCGGCCAAGUUGGAACGUAGAAAAGGCCCAGACUCCGACGGGAGGCAGCAGUGGGGAAUCUUCGGCAAUGGACGAAAGUCUGACCGAGCAACGCAGCUUGAGUGAAGAAGGUUGUCGGAUCGUAAAACUCUGUUGUUAGAGAAGCGGUAUCUAACCAGAAAGCCACGGCUAACUACGUGCCAGCCGCCGCGGUAAUUC